rnacentral:rRNA from 1 species
UACGUAGGGCGCAAGCGUUGUCCGGAAUUAUUGGGCGUAAAGAGCUCGUAGGCGGCUUGUCACGUCGGAUGUGAAAGCCCGGGGCUUAACUCCGGGUCUGCAUUCGAUACGGGCUGGCUAGAGUGUGGUAGGGGAGAUCGGAAUUCCUGGUGUAGCGGUGAAAUGCGCAGAUAUCAGGAGGAACACCGGUGGCAAAGGCGGAUCUCUGGGCCAUUACUGACGCUGAGGAGCGAAAGCGUGGGGAGCGAACAGG